rnacentral:lncRNA from 1 species
GGUUUUAGUCAGGGAAGAAAAGUAAUCGAGUCGCCACCUGGUGGUUUCGUUCCUAACGCUGAGCGAAAUGAAUGGGAUUCUCCAUAGACAUGUUUUUAGAAAAAAAUGGUAGGGGUUUGACUUUUGUUGUCAACAUGUACGUGAACUAGCAGUUUUGGCUGUUCGUAGAGAUGGUGCCGGAGGUGAGAACCCAUGAGACAAAAUGUUUAAAGAUGUCGGCAAUUAAUUCGAAUAUGGCAAUUGUCUUUGGGUUAUUACGGUCUCCCAUUCGCUCACACAAAACAUCUACCUUCAGCCUCCCUUAGCUGAUGUGGAACAGUGCCACUUCAAGGCUAGCCAAGAUCAGCUACUGGGUACUGGACCCACUGCGUGUCAAUAUGUAACAUUGUGCUGGUUCGCUUACAAGACCCUGUUCAGUCACAGUACCCCCUCUUUCUUCUCUCUUGUCUCUUCUCCCCUCCUCCUUUUAUCUGACUAUCCUCAUGCUUCUCUCACACAACCAAGCCAACACACAGACCAUCACGAGGUUGUGCAGGUCCCUUGUUCCCACUGAGACACAUUACUGAUGCUUGGCUGCAGCUGAAGAAAAGGACUACUUCUUCUCUCAAGCCCACACACACACAUACGCACGCACGU